rnacentral:rRNA from 1 species
UAGUCAUAUGCUUGUCCUAAAGAUUAAGCCAUGCAUGUGUACGUUCAAGCCCUUGUACGGUGAAACUGCGGAUGGCUCAUUAUAUCAGUGAUAAUUUGGUUGGUGGAGAAUGCUGUGGAUAACCGUGGUAAUUCUAGAGCUAAUACAUGUGGAGCAGACGGGAGUCUGGCAUUUAUUAGAUAAAGCCUUGGCGGGGGGGGGUGUAUUCUCUUCCCUGCGCAGGUGAGUAAUGAUAACUGGGCGGAUCGCAAACUAUUUGCGACGCACCAAGGAAAUUUCUGCCCUAUCAACUGUGGAUGGUAGGAUAGGGGCCUACCAUGGUGGCGACGGGUGACGGGGAAUCAGGGUUCGAUUCCGGAGAGGGAGCCUGAGAGAUGGCUACCACUUCCAAGGAAGGCAGCAGGCGCGCAAAUUACCCAAUCCCGAGGCGGGGAGGUAGUGACAGGACAUGACGGGGCGGGGCGCACAGCGCCCUGCGACUGGGUUGAGGAAAAGAUAAAGCGAAUGACGAGAAACGAUU